GAGAGACGGAGGGAGUCCUAUCCGUAAGACUCAGUAUUCCGACUCAUCCAACGCGUGCAGGCGAUCGCCCAACCCUCGCAAACGCCGUCACAACCCUAACGUGAAGUUUCGAUCGUAAUUGUGCCGGCUGCUACGCCCCCACCGGAGAAGAGAGCGCCGACACCGAGAUGGGCCGCGUCCGGACGGAGACGGUGGAGAAGUCCUCCCGCCAGUUGAUCGAGCGGCACUACUCGCUCAUCGCCAUCGACUUCCACACCAACUAGAAGAUCCUCGAGGAGAUCCCUUCAUCCCGUCGAAGCGAUGCCGCAACAAGAUCGCCGGGUUCAGCGCCCGCCUCACGCGCCGGAUUCAGCGUGGCCCUGUCCGCGGCAUCUCCCUCAAGCUCCAGCAGGAGGAGCGCGAGCGCCGGAUUGACUUCAACCCCGACGAGUCCGCCAUCAGGGUCGAAUAAAUCGAGGUCGACAAGGAGACCUUCGACAUGCUCGCCCCCCUCGUCAAGGUCGACCUCCCCGACGUCGAGAAGCAGGCCAACGCCCUCGCCCUGGCGGUGGCUAUGGUCGCAGGUUCCGAGAUUGCUGUGUCUCUAUUGACUUAUAGGUAUAGCAAAUCAUGAUCAAUACUUUGUCGUGAGGUGUGGAGAGGAGGAGAGCUUGUUUUACGGUUUUUAAGAGGAUCUUCUUGGUGAAACAAUGGUCAAGGUAUCUGAAGCUUGUCUUCAUCGAAAGACACCCUUGUUCAUUAGAAAUGUUGAAGUUUGUGAUGAACGAUAGAACUUAAGAAAACAAGUUUGUAAAUACCUGUGGUUAUUCCAUGCUUUGAUACUUCUGUUAAUCAAAAUCAUUCAAGGAACUGCCCUGUUUUAUUUUGGUUAUUAUUGAACGAGAAAAGCCACAAUAUACUUUUGUUA